rnacentral:rRNA from 1 species
AGACGUCUACAUUAGACUACCCCUGUAGUCCCAGCCCUAAACGAUGCGCGUUAGGUGUAUCGGUGACCACGAGUCACCGAGGUGCCGAAAGGGAAACCGUGAAACGUGCCGCCUGGGAAGUACGGUCGCAAGGCUGAAAACUUAAAGGAAUUGGCGGGGGAGCACCACAACGGGUGGAGCCUGCGGUUUAAUUGGACUCAACGCCGGGAAGCUCACCGGAUAAGACAGCGGAAUGAUUGCCGGGCUGAAGACCCUGCAUGACCAGCUG